rnacentral:lncRNA from 1 species
GAGGGAGAAAAUCUUUCAAGCAGACUUCCUGCUGAGGGAGGAGCCCAACCACUCAGGGGCUCGAUCCCACAACCCAUCACAUCAUGGCCUGAGCUGAAACCAAGAGUUGGAAACUUAACCAACUGAGCCACCCAGGCACCCCUGGCCAUCAUUAAGUAACAUCAUAACAUCAGAACCUGCAUCUGACCACACAAAGCUUAAAGUACCAUAAAGCUUCUCGAAGCAGAGUUCCUUCAGUCAGAAAAGUCACAUCUAGGAAAACUUAUUUCUUUCUGGUACGUCUGGUGAUCCUUCCAAGUUGGGAAGUAAAACUUGUUCUCUUAUUUUACAGUAAAAGAGACACCUUAGAAGAUUGUAAUUUUGAGAACAUCGAAUGAGCUCAGAAUGUGAACUCCUAAGACACGGAGUCUGCGCUACUGGCCCCAUGUCACGUGAUGCCUCAGAGGCUCCAGUGAGACACAGCUGAGCUAGCUGCUAGCCAUGGUUUCGGUGGCUGCGUGUGCCGUUGCACUAAGAGGAAGUGGCUCCUAUGGAACUCCCAGGAUCCCAUGCGCUCCAGCUCCCCAUGGGAUGAGUGGUCAAGGCAGCAGCAGCUGUGGCCUGCUUGCGCAGUUCUAG